UGUCGUCAGCUCGUGUCGUGAGAUGUUGGGUUAAGUCCCGUAACGAGCGCAACCCUUGUCCUUAGUUGCCAGCACGUAAUGGUGGGAACUCUAAGGAGACUGCCGGUGACAAACCGGAGGAAGGUGGGGACGACGUCAAGUCAUCAUGGCCCUUACGCCUAGGGCUACACACGUGCUACAAUGGUAGGUACAGAGGGCAGCUACAUGGUGACAUGAUGCGAAUCUCGAAAGCCUAUCUCAGUUCGGAUUGGAGUCU
rnacentral:rRNA from 1 species